rnacentral:rRNA from 1 species
UACGUAGGGGGCAAGCGUUGUCCGGAUUUAUUGGGCGUAAAGAGCGUGUAGGCGGUCAGGCAGGUCCGUUGUGAAAACUCGAGGCUCAACCUCGAGACGCCGAUGGAAACCAUCUGACUAGAGUCCGGAAGAGGAGAGUGGAAUUCCUGGUGUAGCGGUGAAAUGCGCAGAUAUCAGGAGGAACACCGGUGGUGUAAACGGCUUUCUGGACCAUAACUGACGCUGAGGCACGAAAGCGUGGGUAGCAAACAGG